CCAGCACCUGCGGUAAUUCCAGCUCCAAUAGCGUAUAUUAAAGUUGUUGCAGUUAAAACGCUCGUAGUCUGAUGUAAUGGGGACUGGAGUGGGGAGCAGCGAUGCUCUUUGCUUUGGUCCCCAUCAAGGGGACAGCAAUGUCCCAUUUUACUUUGAAAAAAUUAGAGUGUUUCAAGCAGGCUUUAUGCUAUGAAUACAUUAGCAUGGAAUAAUAAUUUAGGACUUCGGUUCUAUUUUGUUGGUUUCUAGGACUGAAGUAAUGAUUGAUAGGGAUAGUUGGGGGUGCUAGUAUUCAGCGGCCAGAGGUGAAAUUCUCGGAUUCGCUGAAGACUAACUUAUGCGAAAGCAUU
rnacentral:rRNA from 1 species